rnacentral:rRNA from 1 species
AAAUUGAAGAGUUUGAUCAUGGCUCAGAUUGAACGCUGGCGGCAGGCCUAACACAUGCAAGUCGAACGGUAACAGGAAGCAGCUUGCUGCUUCGCUGACGAGUGGCGGACGGGUGAGUAAUGUCUGGGAAGCUG